GUGAAUCAUCGAAUCUUUGAACGCAAAUUGCGCCUUUUUCGGAAGGCAUGUCUGUUUGAGGGCACCAUUUAACAAAUAAUGUGCACCGUUUUGUGUGUGCACACGUUGAUGAGCUUUCCAGGAAAAAAAAUAUUUUUUUUUUUUUUUGGUUGGGGAAUAUUGAACAGCGCGAAGGCUUUUUUUUCGGUUGAG
rnacentral:misc_RNA from 1 species